rnacentral:rRNA from 1 species
AACGAACGCUGGCGGCAGGCCUAACACAUGCAAGUCGAGCGAGGACUUCGGUCCUAGCGGCGGACGGGUGAGUAACGCGUGGGAACGUGCCCUUUGCUUCGGAAUAGCCCUGGGAAACUGGGAGUAAUACCGGAUGAGCCCUUUGGGGGAAAGAUUUAUCGGCGAAGGAUCGGCCCGCGUUGGAUUAGGUAGUUGGUGGGGUAAUGGCCUACCAAGCCGACGAUCCAUAGCUGGUUUGAGAGGAUGAUCAGCCACACUGGGACUGAGACACGGCCCAGACUCGUACGGGAGGCAGCAGUGGGGAAUCUUAGACAAUGGGGGAAACCCUGAUCUAGCCAUGCCGGGUGAGCGAUGAAGGCCUUAGGGUUGUAAAGCUCUUUCAGCUGGGAAGAUAAUGACGGUACCAGCAGAAGAAGCCCCGGCUAACUCCGUG